rnacentral:tRNA from 1 species
GUGCAGCUGCUGACCCUCCUUAUCGACGACUCAGCUUCACCAUAAGCUCCCACACGAAUUGCUUGAUUCAUUGAAGAAGACGAUUGGGUCUGUAGCUCAGUUGGUUAGAGCGCACCCCUGAUAAGGGUGAGGUCGGCAGUUCGAAUCUGCCCAGACCCACCAAUUGUUUGGGGCCAUAGCUCAGCUGGGAGAGCGCCUGCCUUGCACGCAGGAGGUCAGCGGUUCGAUCCCGCUUGGCUCCACCAUUCAUUGGUCAAUCUCAUGCGCUGCAGCUUCAACCAGAGCCUUCCCUCACAAAUGACCAUUCCGUCGAUACCGGGCCUGAAUGUUAAUUUCUGAUCUUUAUCUUAAUCAUUCUUUAAAAAUUUGGACAGGUAACCAAAAGUUAGACUGUGAACCACUUUCACUGGUGGAAUCACAGGCUAAUGUAAAAUUUGUGAGUGAAUUGCAAAUUUUCGGCUAAUGUCAUCGUCUGGGGUAACCGGAUUGCUUGGGGUUAUAUGGCCAAGGUGAAUUGGGCACACGGUGGUGCCC